AUGAUCUCCCCAUGGCAGCUCCUCUGGCUGCUGGUGCUCUGGGCUCAGGAUUCCCAAGGAGCCAUUGUGCUGAACCAGUCUCCAGCCUCCUUGUCUGGGUCUUCAGGAGAGAGAGUCACCAUCAGCUGCAAGGCCAGUCAGAGUGUGACAGAUAGUAAUGGUGAUAGCUACCUUCACUGGUACCAGCAGACACCUGGCCAAGCCCCCAGGCUCCUCAUCUCCUAUGCUAACAGGCUGGCAUCUGGAAUCCCUGCCCGCUUCAGUGGCAGUGGGUCUGGGAUAGAUUUCACUCUCACCAUCAGCAGCUUGGAGCCUGAGGAUGCUGGAGAUUAUUACUGUCAGCAUGGGACUCGUUGA